AGCCAUCAUUAAGAAAUGGUGUACAGGAAAAUGACCUAUGAAUUGACAGACAAUAUAACUAAGUUUGUCUGUCAUUUCUGUAGGCCAAUUUUCUGUAUGUCUCUGCUCCUUCAAAAUCAG
rnacentral:pre_miRNA from 15 species